rnacentral:rRNA from 1 species
UACGGAGGGUGCAAGCGUUGUUCGGAAUUACUGGGCGUAAAGCGCGUGUAGGCGGUCAGGCAAGUCAGAUGUGAAAGCCUUCCGCUCAACGGAAGAAGUGCAUUUGAAACUACCUGGCUAGAGUUCGAGAGAGGAGAGUGGAAUUCCUGGUGUAGAGGUGAAAUUCGUAGAUAUCAGGAGGAACACCGGUGGCGAAGGCGGCUCUCUGGCUCGAUACUGACGCUGAGACGCGAAAGCGUGGGGAG